rnacentral:rRNA from 1 species
AGCGAACGCUGGCGGCAGGCUUAACACAUGCAAGUCGAACGGGCAUCUUCGGAUGUCAGUGGCAGACGGGUGAGUAACACGUGGGAACGUACCCUUCGGUUCGGAAUAACUCAGGGAAACUUGAGCUAAUACCGGAUACGCCCUUUUGGGGAAAGGUUUACUGCCGAAGGAUCGGCCCGCGUCUGAUUAGCUUGUUGGUGGGGUAACGGCCUACCAAGGCGACGAUCAGUAGCUGGUCUGAGAGGAUGAUCAGCCACACUGGGACUGAGACACGGCCCAGACUCCGACGGGAGGCAGCAGUGGGGAGUAUGGGACAAUGGGCGCAGGCCUGAUCCAGCCUUGCCGCGUGAGUGAUGAAGGCCUUAGGGGUGUAAAGCCCUUUGGUCCGGGACGAUAAUGACGGUACCGGAAGAAUAAGCCCCGGCUAACUUCGUG